CAAGGGUGAAUACAUCUGUCAAAACUCAAUGAACCUGUAAAAUGAGCAAACUUAAUUAUAUAUAAAUUCUACCUGAAUAGGGUUGUUUUUUUAAAAAAGAACGUUUACUGUGUAACUGACAUAUUCCCCUCUACCCCCGAGGGGGUGCACCAUUCCUGGAAGUACUGCAAUACCAGCUGGUGGUCUUGACUUU